rnacentral:rRNA from 1 species
UACGUAGGGUGCAAGCGUUUGUCCGGAAUUAUUGGGCGUAAAGAGCUCGUAGGCGGUUUGUUGCGUCGGCUGUGAAAACCUGAGGCUCAACCUCAGGCCUGCAGUCGAUACGAGCAGACUAGAGUGUUGCAGGGGAGACUGGAAUUCCUGGUGUAGCGGUGAAAUGCGCAGAUAUCAGGAGGAACACCGGUGGCGAAGGCGGUUCUCUGGGCAUUACCUGACGCUGAGGAGCGAAAGUGUGGGGAGCGAACAGG